rnacentral:rRNA from 1 species
AGAGUUUGAUCCUGGCUCAGGACGAACGCUGGCGGCNNGCCUAACACNNGCAAGUCGAACGGGGCCAGGGGCAACUCUGGUUCAGUGGCGGACGGGUGCGUAACANNNGAGGAACAUGUCUUUCGGUGGGGGAUAGCCGGCCCAACGGCCGGGUAAUACCGCAUACGCUGCUCGGAGCUCCUGCUCUGAGUCGGAAAGCAGCAAUGCGCCNAUUGAGUGCCUCGCGGCCUAUCAGCUAGUUGGUNAGGUAAUGGCNCACCAAGGCGACGACGGGUAGCUGGUCUGAGAGGAUGGCCAGCCACAUUGGGACUGAGACACGNCCCANACUCCUACGGGAGGCAGCAGUGGGGAAUAUUGCGCAAUGGGCGAAAGCCUGACGCAGCGACGCCGCGUGUGGGAUGACGGCCUUCGGGUUGUAAACCUCUUUCANGAGGNACGAAGCCACUCGGGUUAAUACCNCAGAGGGUGACGGUACCUCCAGAAGAAGCCCCGGCUAACUACGUGCCAGCAGCCGCGGUAAUACGUAGGGGGCAAGCGUUGUCCGGAUUUAUUGGGCGUAAAGCGCGUGUAGGCGGCCACGCAGGUCCGCUGUGAAAACUCGAGGCUCAACCUUGAGAUGUCNGUGGAAACCGCGUGGCUAGAGUCCGGAAGANNANAGUGGAAUUCCCGGUGUAGCGGUGAAAUGCGUAGA